UUUUCGCGCCUGCUCCCUCGGGAGUUGUACAGUAUAUGAACCAUCUAAUAAAUAAAUGUGUUAUCAGCCUCCUAGAACUGAUAUUUGUAUCAUAUUUAGUCUCUGCUUACGUGAGGACGCUUCACUAAUUUUUUGCUUUAGCCACAUUAAUCGAACAUUAGGAUUCUUGGUUGUAAUGAAUAUCUUCAUGUGUGUCUCAGACUCAAAGACAUCCAAAGAAUAUGACUUCUCAUUAUCAGUUAAUUCAGCCAUAGCAUCCACUUGAUCAACACACUUCUCAACUGAAAAUUCUUCAUCACACCUUUUCCUUUCUUCAAGAGCUUGCAAAGUUUUGCUAUUUUGGCUCUUUUUAAAAUCCACAUAUCCUUGAAGAGCUGAUCCAAUGUGACUUUGCUUACGCUUUCUCCCACUUCCACCUUCU
rnacentral:lncRNA from 1 species